UACAGAGGUCUCAAGCGUUGUUCGGAUUCAUUGGGCGUAAAGGGUGCGUAGGUGGCGACGUAAGUCGGGUGUGAAAUUUCGGAGCUUAACUCCGAAACUGCAUUCGAUACUGCCGUGCUUGAGGACUGGAGAGGAGACUGGAAUUUACGGUGUAGCGGUGAAAUGCGUAGAUAUCGGAAGGAAGACCAGUGGCGAAGGCGGGUCUCUGGACAGUUCCUGACGCUGAGGCACGAAGGUCAGGGGAGCAAACGGG
rnacentral:rRNA from 1 species